rnacentral:lncRNA from 1 species
ACUCCAGUCCUCUCCACCCCAAGGUAGGCAGCUUCCCGCUCCUCGUCUUGGGACCUAAACCCAGGAAGUCAAAUGUCCUUUUCUAGCAGGUCGCCUGGUUAGAGGCCGUGGACGAAGCGGUCCAGGCACAGCCAGCUGCAGGGCGCGGCCUCGGCGGCGCUGCUCGUGGCCCUGGUCAGUGAGCGCACUCACUCCUGGACUAAGCAUUAUUCUCUUGGAUUCACCUUUGCAAAGAAUUGAACAAAAUAGAAGCCAAAGAAGUAGACAGAAAAUAAAUCAAUCCACUCUGCUCAAAGAGCACACAGUCUAAUGAAGAUGAUGAACAUGAAGUCAACUUCGUAGUGUUGAGAGCACUGUUUCUCCAGAGCAGCACUUCUCAUCAGGGGCUGCACGUUAGACUUACCUGGGGAGUAUACAUAAGUUCAGAUGCCCAGGCUGUACUUCAGAAUCUCUGGAGCUCUAUGCAACUCAUUUUCAUCUAGCAUUACCUCUCCAAAACCUGAAUCUCCACAAGAAAGCCACACAGCAAUUAACCAGUGUUGCAAGAACUGCUUCUGUAAUAAAGGUGGGAAGACAAAUUGAUGCAACCCUCUUGAAAAGCAAUCUGGCAAUAUGAACCAAGAGCCAUGAAAAGGCUUAUGCUAUUAUAAUUAAAUGGCUGUAAUGUUGGCUGUAAAUAUGAAAUUUUCUUUCACACACCAAUGUUUUCAAGAAUGGCAUAUUCACAUGCAGUAUGUGAUGAAAGAAGCAGUAAAGGAUGCUAACAAAGCUAUUUCUUUGGACAAUCUGAACCUGACGGAGUCUUACUCUGUCGCCCAGGCAGGAGUGCAAUGGCACAAUCUUGGCUCACCACAACCUCCGCCUCCUGGGUUCAAGUGACUCUCCUGCCUGGCCAUAGAAGCAAACACAAACAUAGAGGAAUUGGCUUUGGGCAGAUGGAAGGACCUCAGAGAAAAGAAACAAAGGAAAGAAAACUGGAUGGAUAAAGGUUUGUAGAAAUACUAUUCACAGGAAGCAAAUAGGAAUUCCUUAUCGCUAAACAGACACUAAGUCAAUUGGUACUACCCAUUCUUAUUUAACAUGUGAGGAAACUGAAACCUGAAGAGGUCAUGGAAGUUCUGUGUGGCCACACCAAUGGUAGACAGCAGAACCAGAUUUCAAACCAGCUUUUUCUCCAGCAUUAUUCUUCAUGAGAAGAAUAAUUAAACUUAUUGUGUAAUAAAGUGUGUUUUUAAGGUAUAA